GAAGGCGGGCGCGGCGGCGGCGGAGGAGGAAGGCGUCCUCGAGGGAGGAGCGUCCGCGCUACCACAUGUAGUUCUUGGUCUUCUGUUCCCGCAUGAGGUUCGCAAAGGUUCAGUUCAAGUUCUCUUCCGCGGUCCCCUUCUGGCUGAUGUCCCGGUCCGACUCCGAGUGUUUGGUCCUGUUCUUGUUUAUGUUAUGGGGGUUCAUGGCAAAACAACACGCUAAAUGGUUGUUCCUACAGUGACGUGUUUAACACAUACGAUGGUAACGACCACUAUAACACUACCGGCGACGGAUGAGGGUACUCAACGGAGCGAUACCAGAACUUCAACCGGAGUGGUUGAUACGACGUCGGAUGACGUGACCAGACGAAAACCGAGCAGCACACGAGUUCUUGGCACUAGAACUACUCCUCAUACUUCCGUUACAACUCCGGUGACCACUCCUGAAGAGACAACUCGGAAGACUACUCUCCUCCGGAAAGGCACGCGAAAACCUACAACCAGAAUAAUCCUGGUGGUGACCUUUGGCACACAAACCACGGGAAUUCCCUCGAAACCUACCACCGGAACUGUAAGGGGUGUCACUGUUCUCUAAACGACCCAAGUUUUUCCUGCUCUUCAGCGACCUACGACUCUAAGUGGCGUUCAUGUAGAAACCUCCCGUACAACGACUGAUGUACUCCAGUGAUCGUCUACUCCUUGGUCUCUUCAAGGUUUGAGUAAAGUCACUCAUGUAGUUCUCCCCUUAGAGUCGACUACUGUACCUUCGUCAAAUGUUCUUCCAAGUACGACGGUAGGCACGACUAGGGUGGUACCGGUUUAGUUGGUUCCGCGGAGGGUUCUGAGUGUUCUCCAUGUUGGGGUUCUUCGACUGGAUACUCGUCUCCUUCCGGUCGGAGCAGCUUUCCGAGUUGCGGGAGUUGUUGAGACGGCCACGGCGGCUACUGCUGCUCCUGCUGCUGCUCACUUCUCGCGAGAACAGGUGGGGUCACAUCAGAACGUUGCACGCAAAAACAAUUUCAGGCCGUGAGACGUGUUACUGGACAAGGAAACUCAAAACAAACAGAACGACCUCAAUAUCUAACACAAUAGAGCUAAUACACGGCACGACCGUAAACCUAGAAUUAGAAUUAGGCAAGCAGACCGUGGGAAGCAUUACAAAAAAAACGCCGACAAAGUACGAACAACCGGAAUCCAACUGUACUGGAAGCAACCAUCCAGUAAAGUCGAAUAAGGAUUGGUUAUGAGGCAUAUACUAAAAUGACACCGA
rnacentral:rRNA from 1 species